rnacentral:rRNA from 1 species
CACGUAGGGCGCAAGCGUUGUCCGGAAUUAUUGGGCCUAAAGCAUCCGUAGCCGGUCCUGCAAGUCUUCCGUUAAAUCCAGCUGCUCAACAGAUGGGCUGCGGGAGAUACUACAGGGCUAGGAGGCGGGAGAGGCAAGCGGUACUUUAUGGGUAGGGGUAAAAUCCGCUGAUCCAUAGAAGACCACCAGUGGCGAAGGCGGCUUGCCAGAACGCGCUCGACGGUGAGGGAUGAAAGCUGGGGGAGCAAACCGG